ACACAGGUGGUCAGGUAGAGAAUACCAAGGCGCUUGAGAGAACUCGGGUGAAGGAACUAGGCAAAAUGGUGCCGUAACUUCGGGAGAAGGCACGCUGAUGUGUAGGUGAAGUCCCUGCGGACGGAGCUGAAAUCAGUCGAAGAUACCAGCUGGCUGCAACUGUUUAUUAAAAACACAGCACUGUGCAAACACGAAAGUGGACGUAUACGGUGUGACGCCUGCCCGGUGCCGG
rnacentral:rRNA from 1 species